CUACGGGCUGCUCCAGUGGGGAAUUUUGCGCAAUGGGGGAAACCCUGACGCAGUAAUACCGCGUGAGUGAAGAAGGCCUUUGGGUCGUAAAGCUCUUUUCUUGGGGAAGAUAGUGACGGUACCCAAGGAAUAAGCACCGGCUAACUCCGUGCCAGCAGCCGCGGUAAUACGGAGGGUGCAAGCGUUGUUCGGAUUUACUGGGCGUAAAGGGCACGUAGGCGGCACAGCAAGUUAAGGGUGAAAUCCCGGGGCUCAACUCCGGAACUGCUCUUAAAACUGCUGAGCUAGAGAUAGUCAGAGGCGGGUGGAAUUCCAGGUGUAGAGGUGAAAUUCGUAGAUAUCUGGAGGAACACCGGUGGCGAAGGCGGCCCGCUGGGGCUAUUCUGACGCUAAGGUGCGAAAGCGUGGGGAGCAAACGGGAUUAGAUACCCGAGUAGUC
rnacentral:rRNA from 1 species